AGUACAAAGGAUGGGUCCCGGGGACUUUCUGCUGGAAUAGCGGGGGCGCGCUUUGGAGGAGGGGGGGACACCCGGUUUCUGGGGAGCGGUGUACCGGGGUUCCAAGGAUGGGUAACGCGGAGAGCGCGGGGGGUACCCCGGGGACAACUCUGUUACCGCUGAAAGUGCCGAUGCCUGACCAGGGAGAACUGGAGGAGAGAUUUGCGCUGGUUCUGAGCUCCAUGAACCUCCCUCCAGACAAGGCCAGACUUCUGAGACAAUAUGACAAUGAGAAGAAAUGGGAUCUUAUCUGUGACCAGGAACGGUUUCAAGUUAAAAAUCCUCCACACACCUAUAUCCUUAAACUUCAGUCCUUUCUAGACCCGGGAGUUACACGGAAGAAGUUCAGAAGAAGGGUUCAAGAAAGUACUAAAGUUCUUCGUGAGCUAGAAAUCUCUCUCCGGACUAAUCAUAUUGGGUGGGUUCGGGAGUUUUUAAACAAUGACAAUCAAGGUCUAGAUGUGCUUGUGGAGUAUCUGUCCUUUGCCCAGUGUGCGGUUAUGUUUGAUUUUGAGGGCCUGGAAAACGGGGAGGAUGGCUUGAUAGAAAAGUCCAAGCCCUGGAGCAGAUCCAUCGAGGAUCUGCCGCAUCCCAACUCCCUGUCUGCCCCUUUCACCAACGGCCUCGCUCGCUCUGCCCGCCAGUCUGUGCUCCGAAGCUACAACACACUACCUGGCAAAAAAGCCUUGAAGAACUCACGGUUGGUCAGUCAGAAGGAUGAUGUCCAUGUCUGCAUUCUGUGCCUCCGGGCAAUCAUGAACUAUCAAUAUGGCUUCAACCUGGUUAUGUCCCAUCCUCAUGCUGUGAAUGAAAUCGCCCUCAGCUUAAACAACAAGAACCCCAGGACGAAAGCUCUGGUGCUAGAGCUUCUGGCUGCUGUGUGCCUGGUCCGAGGGGGACAUGAAAUCAUCCUGUCGGCAUUUGACAAUUUUAAAGAGGUCUGUAAAGAGAAACAUCGUUUUGAGAAGCUCAUGGAGUAUUUCAGGAAUGAAGACACCAACAUUGACUUCAUGGUUGCCUGCAUGCAGUUCAUCAAUAUUGUCGUUCACUCUGUGGAAGAUAUGAAUUUCCGAGUGCACCUUCAGUAUGAAUUUACUAAGUUAGGCCUUGAAGACUUCCUGGAGAAGUCUAAGCACACAGAAAGUGAGAAGCUCCAGGUGCAGAUCCAAGCGUAUCUCGAUAAUGUGUUCGAUGUUGGGGGAUUGCUCGAGGAUGCAGAAACCAAGAAUGUUGCACUGGAAAAGGUGGAGGAGCUCGAGGAGCACCUGUCCCAUAUGACCGAAAAACUGCUGGACCUUGAAAAUGAGAACAUAAUGAGAGUGGCAGACCUGGAGAAGACCCUUCUGCAGCGAGAGAAAGAGCUAGAAUUGAUCAAGGAAACCUAUGAGAACACGAGCCAUCAGGUGCACACACUGCGAAAGAUCAUCAAGGAGAAAGACGAGGCAUACCAGCACCUCCGCCAGCGAGAGCAAGCCAACACUUUCCAUAUAAACCAGCAGGGGCCCGCUGGAACAGUCCAUCCAAUUGUCGUUGCUCCUGGUGGAGAGACCCCCUUGCCUUCAGAAUUUCCACCCCCACCCCCUCCUGUCCCUGUUGCUGCACCUCCACCUCCUCCUCCACCACCUCCACCGCCACCACCACCACCUCCUAUGCCAAGCAAAUGUCCUCCUCCACCUCCUUUGCCAUCUUCUUCACCAUCUGUGAUCCUCACUACGGGCUUAUCAGCAAUCCGUAUAAAGAAGCCUAUCAAAACAAAGUUCCGCCUUCCUGUUUUUAACUGGACUGCUUUGAAGCCGAAUCAGAUCAGUGGAACAGUAUUCAGUGACUUAGAUGAUGAGCGGAUAUUGCAGGACCUCGAUAUGGAUAAGUUUGAAGAACUGUUUAAAACCAAAGCACAAGGAGCUGCCAUCGACGUGACUUGCUCCAAAAACAAAACAUCUCAGAAAAAUGUCAGCAAGGUGACACUUCUGGAGGCCAACAGAGCCAAGAACCUCGCUAUCACUCUGCGUAAAGCAGGCCGGACGACGGAAGAAAUCUGCAAAGCCAUCCAAACGUUUGACUUACGGACGUUGCCCGUGGAUUUUGUGGAAUGCCUGGUGCGUUUCCUGCCCACAGAGGCAGAAGUGAAGCUGUUCCGGCAGUAUGAGAAAGAGCGCAAACCCCUAGAUGACUUGUCCGACGAGGACCGUUUCAUGAUGUCCUUCAGUAAGGUGGAGCGACUCUCCCAAAGGACAUCCAUCAUGACCUUCAUGGGUAACUUCAAUGAAAACCUGCAGCUGCUUACACCGCAACUGAAUGCAGUCAUUGCGGCUUCUGCUUCUGUAAAGUCAUCUCCAAAACUGAAGCAGAUGCUCGAGAUUAUCCUUGCACUUGGCAACUACAUGAAUAGCAGCAAAAGAGGAUCUGUCUAUGGGUUCAAACUCCAGAGCUUAGACCUGCUUCAAGACACCAAGUCAACAGACCGAAAAAUGACACUCUUAAAUUAUAUUGCAUUGAUUGCUAAGGAAAAGUACCCUGAAGUGGCCACGUUCUGGACUGAGUUACACUUUGUUGAGAAGGCAGCUGCAGUGUCUCUAGAAAACGUCCUACAGGAUGUGAAGGAGCUUGGGAGGGGAAUGGAUCUGAUCCGGAAAGAGAGCAGUCAUCAUGAUAACAGCAUCCUGAGGAACUUUGUGAGCACGAAUGAAUCAAAGUUGGAUAAGCUAGUGAAGGACGCAAGGACUGCAGAGGAAGCAUAUGCAGCUGUGGUGCAUUAUUUUGGAGAGAAUCCAAAGACAACGCCCCCCUCUGUUUUCUUUCCAGUAUUUGCCCGUUUCAUCAAAUCAUACAAGGAAGCUGAGCAGGAGAACGAGAUGCGUAAGAAGCAAGAGGAGGUUUUACGAGAGAAGCUGCUGGCUCAAGAAGCAAAGAAGUUGGAUCCAAAGUCUCCGAUGCAGAAAAACAAGCGACAGCAGCAAGAUCUCAUUGCAGAGCUGCGCCGGCGACAGGCCAAGGACCAUCACCCUGUAUACGAAGGGAAGGAUGGAGCCAUAGAAGACAUAAUCACAGUCCUGAAGAGCGUCCCCUUCACAGCCAGAACAGCCAAACGAGGCUCUCGCUUCUUCUGUGAUACAUCCCUGUUUGAGGAUUCAAACUGUUAAAAGUCCAUGCCUUUAAAAAAUAUUGAAAGAUUAGCAACCAGGAAGAUUCAUCUCUAGUUUCCCCUUCUCUUGCAGAGGACCUUCGCAACCAGCCCUUCAGACGCGCAGACGCAGUGCUCCGGAAUGCUUGGCGAAGGAUUUAGUGCCGACAUGCUGCAUCGGGUCACUGUCCCUUUGGGCUCCUUUUUUGGAUCUCUGUUCUUCAUUCCAUACCAUAUUUCAAGGGACCAAGCCAGGACACUUUGAAAAGUGCCUUAAAGUUACAGUAUUACUGAACUAUUUUAUUAUUAUUUUUUAAUUUCUUUUACUAUUUAUAUAUUUUUUUAACAUUUUACUGUUUAAAUGUGUAAAUAUUUUUGUAAUGUUCUCUCAACCAAUAAUUAUUAGCCUUUCCAGUCAGCAUUGGUUGCAAAAAAUAGAGGAAAAAGUGCCUUGUAAGUGUUUUAUGUGCAGGUGGAUAUAAUGAACGCUAAUAUGUUAUAUGGUCGGACCUUUCCUUAUUUGAAAGUGCUGGUUAUGUGAUAGUUAAAUAUAUAUAUAUAUAUGUUUGGCAGAGCCAUGUGGCUCUCAGGUUAACGCGACAAAAAGUCGUCUGCCUCCUUUAAAUGUAAACACUAUGCACCUAAUGUUGGUUAGGGGGAGAAAGUGCAGGAAAUGUGCCAAAUUUGUUUGAAAGUUUUAGGAAGUGCAUCCAAAUAUUCCACACCAAACACGAAGGUGCUUCCAGCAUCCGUACCGGUGCCUAGCAGGACUACAUG